rnacentral:rRNA from 1 species
UACGUAGGGGGCUAGCGUUGUCCGGAAUCAUUGGGCGUAAAGCGCGUGUAGGCGGUUCGGUAAGUCCGCUGUGAAAGUCGGGGGCUCAACCCUCGAAUGCCGGUGGAUACUGUCGGACUAGAGUACGGAAGAGGCGAGUGGAAUUCCUGGUGUAGCGGUGAAAUGCGCAGAUAUCAGGAGGAACACCAAUUGCGAAGGCAGCUCGCUGGGACGUUACUGACGCUGAGACGCGAAGCGUGGGGAGCAAACAGG